rnacentral:rRNA from 1 species
CCACCACCAAAGCAUUCUCUGGUGUUGAAGGCCCUGCAAAGCAGCAUCGCGGUGGCGGAGCGUCGUUUGCGACGCCCAACACACAAAACAAGCGGUGAGUGCUUUGGGGUGGGGUGACUGCGUACCUUUUGUAUAAUGGGUCAGCGACUUAUAUUCUGUAGCAAGGUUAACCGUAUAGGGGAGCCGAAGGGAAACCGAGUCUUAACUGGGCGUUAAGUUGCAGGGUAUAGACCCGAAACCCGGUGAUCUAGCCAUGGGCAGGUUGAAGGUUGGGUAACACUAACUGGAGGACCGAACCGACUAAUGUUGAAAAAUUAGCGGAUGACUUGUGGCUGGGGGUGAAAGGCCAAUCAAACCGGGAGAUAGCUGGUUCUCCCCGAAAGCUAUUUAGGUAGCGCCUCGUGAACUCAUCUUCGGGGGUAGAGCACUGUUUCGGCUAGGGGGUCAUCCCGACUUACCAACCCGAUGCAAACUGCGAAUACCGAAGAAUGUUAUCACGGGAGACACACGGCGGGUGCUAACGUCCGUCGUGAAGAGGGAAACAACCCAGACCGCCAGCUAAGGUCCCAAAGUCAUGGUUAAGUGGGAAACGAUGUGGGAAGGCCCAGACAGCCAGGAUGUUGGCUUAGAAGCAGCCAUCAUUUAAAGAAAGCGUAAUAGCUCACUGGUCGAGUCGGCCUGCGCGGAAGAUGUAACGGGGCUAAACUGUGCACCGAAGCUGCGGCAGCGACGCUUAUGCGUUGUUGGGUAGGGGAGCGUUCUGUAAGCCUGCGAAGGUGUCCUGUGAGGGAUGCUGGAGGUAUCAGAAGUGCGAAUGCUGACAUAAGUAACGAUAAUGCGGGUGAAAAGCCCGCUCGCCGGAAGACCAAGGGUUCCUGUCCAACGUUAAUCGGGGCAGGGUGAGUCGACCCCUAAGGCGAGGCCGAAAGGCGUAGUCGAUGGGAAACGGGUUAAUAUUCCCGUACUUGGUGUUACUGCGAAGGGGGGACGGAGAAGGCUAUGUUGGCCGGGCGACGGUUGUCCCGGUUUAAGCGUGUAGGCUGGUUUUCCAGGCAAAUCCG